rnacentral:rRNA from 1 species
AGAGUUUGAUCAUGGCUCAGAUUGAACGCUGGCGGCAGGCCUAACACAUGCAAGUCGAGCGGAUGAAGGGAGCUUGCUCCUGGAUUCAGCGGCGGACGGGUGAGUAAUGCCUAGGAAUCUGCCUGGUAGUGGGGGAUAACGUCCGGAAACGGGCGCUAAUACCGCAUACGUCCUGAGGGAGAAAGUGGGGGAUCUUCGGACCUCACGCUAUCAGAUGAGCCUAGGUCGGAUUAGCUAGUUGGUGGGGUAAAGGCCUACCAAGGCGACGAUCCGUAACUGGUCUGAGAGGAUGAUCAGUCACACUGGAACUGAGACACGGUCCAGGCUCCUACGGGAGGCAGCAGUGGGGAAUAUUGGACAAUGGGCGAAAGCCUGAUCCAGCCAUGCCGCGUGUGUGAAGAAGGUCUUCGGAUUGUAAAGCACUUUAAGUUGGGAGGAAGGGCAGUAAGUUAAUACCUUGCUGUUUUGACGUUACCAACAGAAUAAGCACCGGCUAACUUCGUGCCAGCAGCCGCGGUAAUACGAAGGGUGCAAGCGUUAAUCGGAAUUACUGGGCGUAAAGCGCGCGUAGGUGGUUCAGCAAGUUGGAUGUGAAAUCCCCGGGCUCAACCUGGGAACUGCAUCCAAAACUACUGAGCUAGAGUACGGUAGAGGGUGGUGGAAUUUCCUGUGUAGCGGUGAAAUGCGUAGAUAUAGGAAGGAACACCAGUGGCGAAGGCGACCACCUGGACUGAUACUGACACUGAGGUGCAAAAGCGUGGGGAGCAAACAGGAUUAGAUACCCUGGUAGUCCACGCCGUAAACGAUGUCGACUAGCCGUUGGGAUCCUUGAGAUCUUAGUGGCGCAGCUAACGCGAUAAGUCGACCGCCUGGGGAGUACGGCCGCAAGGUUAAAACUCAAAUGAAUUGACGGGGGCCCGCACAAGCGGUGGAGCAUGUGGUUUAAUUCGAAGCAACGCGAAGAACCUUACCUGGCCUUGACAUGCUGAGAACUUUCCAGAGAUGGAUUGGUGCCUUCGGGAACUCAGACACAGGUGCUGCAUGGCUGUCGUCAGCUCAUGUCGUGAGAUGUUGGGUUAAGUCCCGUAACGAGCGCAACCCUUGUCCUUAGUUACCAGCACCUCGGGUGGGCACUCUAAGGAGACUGCCGGUGACAAACCGGAGGAAGGUGGGGAUGACGUCAAGUCAUCAUGGCCCUUACGGCCAGGGCUACACACGUGCUACAAUGGUCGGUACAAAGGGUUGCCAAGCCGCGAGGUGGAGCUAAUCCCAUAAAACCGAUCGUAGUCCGGAUCGCAGUCUGCAACUCGACUGCGUGAAGUCGGAAUCGCUAGUAAUCGUGAAUCAGAAUGUCACGGUGAAUACGUUCCCGGGCCUUGUACACACCGCCCGUCACACCAUGGGAGUGGGUUGCUCCAGAAGUAGCUAGUCUAACCGCAAGGGGGACGGUUACCACGGAGUGAUUCAUGACUGGGGUGAAGUCGUAACAAGGUAGCCGUAGGGGAACCUGCGGCUG